UGUUUUUGACAAGGGGAGGCUCGCCAUUUUACCAUCGUAGAGUAUUGAUAACGGGAUUGGGGGUGUUACAUUUUACCGGGCUCGGUGGAGUCAUUUCUGGAAAGGCUGACUGCUGCUUUUAUCAGAGGUGUUCUGAACAUCACUGCAGAUUAUCUUGUCUGAAAUCCUGUGCUACUGGGAAAGUGGAGUCUUCAAACAGAGGUCCCGGAGGAAGUCUGGAAGGCCUGGAUGCACAUGCCUGGGACUUCAGUGUGAAUUGAAGCUCCAGAGUUAUGAAACAAUAUAGGCAAAGAGAGAAGCAGGGGACCAAAGCCUUGGAGAAUGCCAAGGGUCCAGAUGAAUCAAAGAUAAAGGCACUGCUAGAAAGAACUGGCUACACAUUGGAUGUAACCACAGGGCAGAGAAAAUACGGAGGUCCUCCUCCAGAAUCCAUAUCCUCUUGUGCUCAACCUGGGAUUGGAACAGAGCAGGUGUUUGUGGGCAAGAUACCCAGGGACUUAUAUGAAGAUGAGCUGGUACCUCUUUUUGAGAAAGCAGGUCCGAUUUGGGACUUGCGUCUGAUGAUGGAUCCACUCUCUGGACAGAAUCGAGGCUAUGCUUUUAUUACUUUCUGUAAUAAGGAUGCAGCCCAAGAAGCUGUCAAAUUGUGUGAUAACUAUGAAAUACGUCCUGGAAAGCAUAUUGGCGUUUGCAUUUCUGUGGCAAACAACAGGUUGUUUGUAGGCUCUAUCCCCAAAAACAAGACAAAGGAAAAUAUUCUGGAGGAGUUCAGUAAAGUGACAGAGGGUCUGGUGGAUGUAAUCCUUUACCACCAGCCUGAUGACAAGAAGAAGAACCGUGGCUUUUGCUUUCUGGAGUAUGAAGACCAUAAAAGUGCAGCCCAGGCACGCCGCCGUUUGAUGAGUGGCAAGGUGAAAGUGUGGGGCAAUGUGGUAACUGUAGAAUGGGCAGAUCCAGUGGAGGAGCCAGACCCUGAAAUUAUGGCAAAGGUUAAAGUUCUGUUUGUGAGGAACUUGUCUUCCACAGUGACUGAAGAGAUUUUGGAAAAGGCCUUUUCAGUCUUUGGAAAGCUCGAAAGAGUGAAGAAAUUGAAGGAUUAUGCAUUUGUGCACUUUGAGGACAGGGAUGCUGCUGUGAGGGCCAUGGAUGAAAUGAACAACACAGAAUUAGAAGGGGAGGAAAUUGAAAUAGUGCUGGCAAAGCCUCCUGACAAGAAAAGAAAGGAACGACAAGCUGCACGUCAGGCUUCCCGUGGUGGUUCGUAUGAUGAUUAUUACUACUAUCCCCCUCCUCGUUUGCCACCCCCAGGAAGAGGCAGGGGACGUGGUGGCAGAGGCGGUUAUUCCUACCCCCAAGAUUAUUAUGGUUAUGAAGAUUACUAUGAUGAUUACUACUCGUAUGACUACCAUGACUACCGUGGUGGCUACGAUGAUCCAUACUAUGGGUAUGAUGAUAGCUACCCAAUGAGAGGAAGAGGCGGCAGAGGUGGCCGUGGAGGGCCCCCACCACCAAGAGGAAGACCAGCUCCUCCACAACGUGGAGGCCGCUCCAGCUAUGCCCCCAGGGGAUCUCCCAUGGGCCCACCUAGAGGAUCAAGAGGCGGAAGAGGGCCUUCUCAGCAACAGCAGCAGCGGGGCCGCAACUCACGGGGCAACCGUGGCAGUAGAGGUGGAAAUGUUGGUGGCAAAAGGAAGGCAGAUGGAUACAAUCAGCCAGACUCCAAACGCCGCCAGACAAACAACCAGCAGAACUGGGGGACCCAGCCCAUAGCCCAGCAGCCAUUGCAGCAAGGCGGUGAUUACACUGAUAUCCAGAACGUGAGACCCUGUCAGUACUGUAUAUAUUAACUACUUCCCUUUUACCUGACUAUCCGGAGAAUCUGCUGUGUCCUGAAAUGUCAUGAAUGGAGAAUAGGCUAAACCACAGUAGCUUUGGCAUCGAUUAACCCUGGAUUGUUUGGGCCUGGAAGCAUGGAUGUAAUGACGCACAGUACUUCCUGUACUACUUGUUGCUCAACUGAUAAUUUCAAGGGGUAAGUCAUCUUAAAAAAUUAAAUAAUGCUAGUCUCUCUAGGUUCCCAUUCCCCUAACUUAAUUCAUAUUUUGUGUAUAGCUCAUAGUGAAUAUUAGGCAUCAGUUAAAGCUGGCCUUAAAACUCAACUUGAAGGAGGUCAUCACAAUGAAGGGAGGGGACUCAAAGUAAAGUGCAGUGUUUGUGCAUACAACUCUCUAUUUAGCAAUAACACCACAGUUAUCUAUUUUACAAAAAGCAAAGCCUUGGUCAUUUAAGGAUAUGAUAAGUCGCCUAUGCAAAAAUGGUGGCCUUUUACUACUGCUUAUGUUUCACUCCUUUAUAUACCAUGCUUAUAUAGCAUUUAUUAUUUACAAACACAUACUAGUCAUCCAUGCUUACUUUAAAAAUGCACUACAGAUUUGUUUCUUUUUAAAGAAAAUUAUGUCCGCUAUGAUCUGUGAAACUGCAGGUGACCUAAUUAUAUAUUUUUCAUGAGUUAGCUUUAUGGUUCUUAAUGUAAUAUUACUAUACAAACAUUUUCUACAUUAGAAAAAACAAAAUGUGUCUACAGCGCUUAAGUUAUAGUGAAGCUGUAAUCUAAACUGUGAUACCCUUUAU